rnacentral:tRNA from 1 species
GCUGUGGCAGUGUAAUGGUCAGCAUAUUUGCCUAGUAAGCAAGAAGACCCGGGUUCGAGUCCCGGCUGCAGCA